AAGACUUUUUUCCUAAUAUCUAAUCUAAACCUGCUCUCUUUCAGUUUGAAGCCAAUCCCCCCUGUCGUGUCACUAUAUUACUGUCCUUGUAAAUAGUCUUGCCUCAUCUUUCCUGUAGGCUCUCUUCAGGUACUGGAAGGUCGCAAUUAGGUCAACCUGAACCCUUCUCUUCUCCAGGCUGAACAAUCCCAAUUCCCUCAACUUUUCCUCACAGGAGAGGUGCUCCAUCUGUCUAAAUAACUUGUUGGCCUCCUCUGGACUCACUCCAACAGGUCAAUGUCCUUCCUUCAAGUGUCAUUCAGGUGUACUCCCUAACUCCUGACAGAACUGAAACCACUGAAAGUAACUGAACAACAGACAGCAGUGCUUGAAAUCCCCCCAGCAAAGAAAGUGCAAAGCUUCCCUUAGAAGUUCAAUGGGAAAGAGUCAAAUGGUGACCCAUGGGACAUUUGACUGCAGUCUGCUGAGGACCAGCAGCAGAACAUGAGGCUGAUUCUCCAGUUAUUGAAGAAUCUCUCCUCGAGCUUUUUCCUGAACACAGCAUCCCUGUGAAGACCAAGUGCACUGCAAGCAGCGAGGUCCCUUCCAAGGCAAAGCCAAGGCCCAAAGUCACAUCAAGGACAGUGUGGAGGAGACAGAGGAAGAGAAUGUGGUGUUGGAGAAAGCCAAUGACUGCAUUACCACCAAAAGCUUGGUUCGGUUGGCAUCUUGAAAUGGGACUAGCUCUGCAUUCACAUCUGCAAGCUGUGGACUCUCCUGCUGUCACAGAACCUUCAGAACUGCUGAAGGUGGUGGAUUUUUCGGCUCCAGCCUUGGCUUAGCGUGGCAGGAACCAGACCAGAGGGAUGUGCUGUCAGGAUAUGCAUUAGAGACAUGAGCUGAGGACACCAAAAAGUGGACAAAAUGCACCAAGGUCCCUAUCUCUAGUACCACUUACAGUGUGGGGAGCUUGCAGGAGAGACAAAUACUGCUUCUGAACCCAAGCCAUGAGUGAAGCUGUUAUGGGAGAAGCAGUGUCGUUAGAGGAAGGAAUUCUAGCAAUGCCACCUUCAGGUAAGGCCUGCAGUAUCCAUCUAGCUGGAAUUCCUACCUGUUAGCUGUUACUUUCUUUUGUUUCUAACAUAUACCACAUUUUGCAAAGUUUUAUCAAAUUCAUCUUGCACUAAAAAAAGCAUUUAUCAUCACAGCUCUGCUGGGUUUUGUUCAGUUUUCAGAGAUUCUGGGAGGAGAUGGAGAGCAGCACAAAGUUGUGCAGUCCUUGAGCCAAAUUUAAAUCAUUCUGCCAUCCUUCUUGCUAAGAUGUCCCCUGAAUGAGGGUGUCAGGUAUAAUGGUGUAAUAAUUGUUUGUUCCACCAUAUGACUGCUCACAUCAUGCCUCACGUGGUUACAGAGGUCACUAUUGGAAGAUUCUCUGAUUCCUAACAUGGAUUCAGUAGUCCGAGUAUGGGUUAGGACAGUUGAUGCUACAGUAAAUAAAUCAUCAUGCUUGAAACAGCCAUUUGCUGUAAAUAUGUGGUGUUACUGAGACAGGAUAAUAAUCCUUUCAGGCCCUCAGUGAGCACUCAGCAUUCUGGCACCUAAAGUUGAAGUAAUAUUAGCAGAGGUCAUGCUUCAAGUACACUAAUUAUGUCUUGAGAAUGAAGAUAUGAAUGAGAAUGACCUGCCAUGAAAUCCCUAGAUACCUCACUAAUUGAGGUAGAAAAGCAUUUAAAUCUUUAUUGUUUAGAGCUUGUUUGCUUAAUUAUUAAUUAGAAAAUUCAAGCGUUUUGUCUAAGAUAGUCCCAGGUGACAAAGCAUGGUGCUGGCUGUCCUCAGUAGCAGUAAGGCCAGCAGGAACAGAUGAUUCAUGAGUCAUGUUAUAUAGCACCUAUUCCUGUAGAGCAGAAGGACAUUCAGGUUUGACUGAGGAAGUCUCAGAAAGCAACAUCCAGGUGACCAUUUUUCAUAUUGAUCAUUUCUCUUCUCAAUCUCCACUUUGAAACUACAUAACCCAUCCAUGCAGCAUGGCUUUGUUACUGUAUCUUCAAAUAAGGAAACACCAAAAAAUCCCAAAGAGACCAUAGGCUCCAGACAAACUUCUCUGGUGUGAGGUGGCAACAUGCAGUACUGUGCUGAAGAGUUUGAGAAGUCCUGUAAGAAAGAGACAUUAUACAAAACUGCUCAUGGCAGGAUUUGGACAGUAAAAUCAUCAAAUGAGUCAUUAGACCUGCCUUUCCCUUUCCUUUGUUCUCACUCAUGUAUUACAUGUAAACUACACUUUUUUGGCACAUUUUUUCCAUUAUCUUUAAAUAUUCCUGUUCCAUCCACCUCACCUGAAAUUGUCCUGAGUAGGUGCUCAUCAGUAAGCAGUUGAUUGCAUUGAUGUUUCUCUUGUGGUUGCACAGCUUAAGAGAAGAGCUGACAACAUUUUAACCCUUACACUUUACUGCCUUCUGCUAAAACAGCCUGAAGGAUUCUUCUUCCAGUCUCUGAGGUGACUCAACAGGCUGAAGAAUGGCUGUAAUUUUCUGUGCAAUCUCUCACUCUCUUACUUUUUCGUUUUUUCUCUCUCUGUUUUCUUUCAUUCCUGCCCACCCAGGUUUGAUCUGACUGUGAGGCUGAAGAGCCACAUGGUGGUUUGUGCUGGGACAGCACCAUGCCUUCGCACAUCUUUUCUGUGAGCUUCCAUGUUAUGUCCUGCCAGAGAAGAAAUCCUGCAAUUAGUGUUUUCUUGGGUAUCUGGUGAAAUACACCUGCAGGGUUUUAGAGCCUGGAGUCAUCCUUUGGCCUUUAUCACAAGCUGUCACUUUGGUUUCAAAGUUGACUAUUGGAGAAAACUCAUGCAGAACUUCAGGUUCACAAAGUCCUGCAUAACUGCUCACUGUUUUUAUGGCAAGCCUUUUUAUAGGCCUCCCUGUGGUGGUAGAGGCCUAUGUGGGACUUCCGUGCACACAAGUUUCAGCUGCACAACCCAGCCCUUCACAGGGGGAGCAUCAGUGCUCAACAAACCAUAAAACAUUGGGGAAGCUCUGUGAUUCACCAUGAGAAGCAGAAUUUUUCAAGCAUGCAACUACAGUUCAUGUAAGGUGAAGAUAAAUCAUUCUUCAUUAAACCUUGAAUGACCUAGGGUUGUAAAGACAAUGCUUGAGGUCCCAACACUGUCCUGUCUGAGGUACAAUUUAUAUUGACAUGGAUGUUGAGCUCAUUUCUGUAGAUACUAACAGUAAUUUAUGUGCUUUCCUUUUUUUUUUUAAGCCUGGACUACUACAUGAGCUCAGGCUCCACAUGACCUUGCAGAAUGAACCCUGCUGUAAGAAGGUACUUCUCAGUUUAAAUUGUAUAAGUUGAUCUGUAUCACACCAGCUGUUUUCCCUCAGCUUUCAAGAUGAUCAAACUAAUGAACUGUAGCAUGGGGUUAUGUGGAUUCUCCCAGGCCAUGACAGAUGUGUGCACUUUGCUGGGGACAAAGCCUGCCAUUGCCUUUGCAGCUUGAAGAAAUCUCCAGGACUGGUGUCCUUGAAACAUUUUUCUCACAGGCUGAUUACGCUCAAGUAGCUCCUGUAGCCACAGACAUCCCUGUUGUGCUCAAAGAUGGGGUUUGUUUCUGACGCUGCCCAAGGCAGGAAGCAGAAUUUUAUAAUUGCAGUUGUUUUGGCCAAUGCUCACCACCAGUGGUGUGGCAAAAAGAGGGAGGACAAGAACUAUUCCCAGUCCUGAUCCACAGCACCGAGUGAUUUGUUUCUGACCUGUACCACAUUAUCCUCAAGAAGGGUUGCAGAGACAUCGUUUACAACAUCCACCUGCAAGCUGCAGGUACAGCAUAGAGAAAACUUGAGCACCUCCAUCACCAUGGGGUACUGACAAGAGGCUCUCUUCUGAUGAUGGAAAUUAGACACAACUUCUACAUCAAUACUAGGGUGAGGAAGGCUGGGGUUUUUUUCUUAAAAAUGAAACAAAACAAAAAGAACAAAAAGUUUCCAAUGAUACAACCCUUUAUCCAAAAAACGCCCCAGGAGCAAUCCAAAAUGUUUCCAUUCAAGAGGAGAAAGACUCCUUGGUCAGAAAAGACUUUCCUACUUCUUGUCAUUGUGUUUCCCAACUCCCUCCUUCAUGUUAGCUGAGCCAAGCCUGGAAGCAGCAUGGCUCAGAGUCAAGGAAUAAGGAUGGUACUGCUGGGGCUUUGUUUACUCUGUCCAAUGUGGAGGGAAAGGGUGAAGCAGUUAUUGCUCCAGACACUCCCAGUGCUACCUUGUUUUUCAUGCCAUUAUUUGAACAGGAAAAUCCCCAUAACAGUACUGAUACAACAGUGUCUGUCCCCUCAGCAGUCUGGUGACACCAUUUCCGUUGCCAGUGGGUCUGUGCCAGCCAAGUGGAGGCAGGCUGGCUUGGCUCCUUAGAGAAACUCCUAUUACUGUAAUGGUCUGCUGAGGUUACAGACCUAUGUACUUGUCAUCCUUUCAGAGAAUGCUUUUCAAAACUAACAGCCUUGUUUUUUCAUCAGAAGGUAAUUACAAAGUACAAAUUGGCCCUCGGGUUGCUCAAGGUAGAAGAAAUCAAGGAAAGAAGUACUUUCCUAGAUACACAGUGAUUUUGGAAGUGAAACAUUUUUGCCCUAGAAAAGGACAGAGGGAGGGAGCCAAACAGAAUAAACUAGUACUUAAAUGGAUUCAUUAAUUCUUAGCUUUCCCUGACCACCCAGUAAUCUGCAGCUGGCUGAAGGAGUCCCAGACACCAUGACCCUAAACCACAGCUCAGAUGCAGAAGACAACUAGGAGACUUAUUAUGGUGUCCUGCAAUGUGAUGUCAGUACUGACAUGUGGUUCACAGGCACAGAGAAGGUCUCCAGCAAUAAAUACACUGUCACAGGCCUGCUCCCAGGGAGGAAAUACUUCUUCUGAGUCAUUGUCUGCAAUGACAGUGGAGACACUGACCCUCUGGAUUCUCAGGAGCAAUGGAACAUCUCCAGACACAGAGGGAUUCUGCCAUGCCACCUUCUCAACUCCAGCCAGCCCAGAUGCUGUGACACAUGCCAGGAAACCAAACCUGACCCAAUUACCUCUCUAACCUCAAGAGAAGCUCAAGAGAAAGACUCAUCCAUUAUGUGAUUCCUCUAACCAUGAUGGAUUUUAGUCAAGGGGUGAGUGCUUCCCAGCGCCCAGGGCUUAAGCUGUACAUGAAUAAACAAAACAUGUGGCCCAGCAACUCAUUACUAAAUAAAGAGGGUAACAGCUGGGCUCCAUGGCAUCCCCUUAGGACUGACACUGUACUCACCAUGAAU